rnacentral:lncRNA from 1 species
UUUAUUUGUAAUUUCGGAUAAGAUAUUAUAAAUCGUUCUUGUUGCGCCACGUGUCAUUUACCCAAAACGACUAUUAUUGGUCAUAGAUUUCGAUAAUAUUUUUAUCCAAUGUCAUCGUGCCACGUGUCGUUAUCUUUUCAGAAUCUUUCAGGACAGAUUUCAAUCAGAUUUAAAAUCGUUCUCGUUGCGCCAUGUGUCAUUAUCCGAAAAAAUAAUUACUAGUGAUGGAUUUCGAUAAGAUUUUUAUCCAAUGUCGUCAUGCCACGU